CGGCCUGAGGAUCCCGGGCGGCGACAGCCGUAGCAGCGGCAGAGGACGGCGGAAGCAACACUGGCGGCAGCAAGAACGCGCACGCUCACGCACUGGCAGAGCGCGCCCCCGGAAAAAGACGUCAUAGCUCCUCACUGGAUGGGAUUGGAGAACUUGGAACUGAAACAAGAGUAGACAGAUCCUCGUGAGGCUGCUUAGCAUCGCCAUGUAUGGCACCUCCAGACCACAGAACUUCAUGAACCCAUCAACAUGUGCUGCCACUACCUCUACCCCAAUUCAAGAACCUCUCAUACCCCAACAGCCGGAACUGAAUGUAAGGGUAGAAGACAGGAAGACGACAAGUACAAAAAAAUCCACCACUACCAACUGGUCAGCAUCAACCACCACAUCACCGCUAAGUCAAGACACACAAAAGACACUGAUAACACUGAUAGCUUUAAGCAUGGUCUGUUGAUUGAGUGGAUUUCUCCAACUAUCGUACUCUAUCCUUCAGGCUUCUAGAGAUAUCCUCCAAAGGAAUGCUAUAUCAGAGGAGAAAUAUGGACACAAACAUGGCAAACUCUAGCCAAAUUCUGACAACUCCUCAGUCACAGACUGGGUUUCUCCGUGGCUGUCCUAUAAAUCAGCCUGUAGACCAAGCUAGCCUAGAAGAUCCAAGAGGGUCAAAGAUCCACAUGCCUCAGCCUCCCAAGUGCUGGGAUAAAAGAUGUGCACCACCACCCAGCCAGAGUCAACAAUAAAAGCUGAGAGUCCCUCACGAAGUGAAACAGCUGCAAAGAAGACUCUCAGAAGAGAAAGGUUGCAAAGACAGUUUUGAGACCAGAAUAGCUGUGUGGAAGAAGCAGAUACCAGGCCAGUUGCUUGGAAGAGGUAAACCUCUUUAUAACUGAGGCUCUUGGAAAGGACACUCUCCAACAUGUUGAGCUGCCUGAAAGCUCUGUAUUGUAUUCAAGGUUCUCAGCUUUGUGAACUAUCACCCACAGUGGCGUGGGCUUUGCUGUCUUUUGUGUCAUUUCUGCUCCUGUAAGCAACCCCAAUAAAACACAUUAGUUCACCAAA